rnacentral:lncRNA from 1 species
ACCAGGCAGGCUCCCCAGGGCAGCUGCGGGCCACUUCCCGUGCCUUCAGAGUGCACAGUGCUGGCAAUCGCUGGGACCAGCUGUAGGGGCUGGGGAGGAUGGAGUGUGGUUGCAGGAGGCUACUAGAACAGCUUGGAUGUCUUUUCCAGGAAGCUGGGUGCACACUCCCCGCUUCUUCUUUCUCUGUGGUCGUUAGGAGUUCAGCUUAAAUCAGUGCUGCAAACAGGAAAGAGUCAUUCUACACCACACAGUGCAAGCACGGAUACAAAAAGGGAGGAGGACGGUGGGUAGCAAGGAGCAGUCACUCCUGAGGAGCAGCCCUUCCUGACUGCAGCACGCUGCAGAUGUGUGCUUUGUUAGAGGCUGGACUGACAGUCCCUUUCACCCUGCACUCUGCACCUCCCUCCCUGCUUGAUGGGAAGGCUGUUCCUCGGAUGCUGGAGUUCAUUCCUGCACACAGAACACUGCUCAGCAGAGGAAGCUGUGGGAGGGCCAUCCUGCUGCCCCAGCUGGAUGGAGUGGUAUCUUUCGUCCAGAGCACCAUAAAGGGUAAAGAAAAAAAUGUAUGGCGAUAAUGGGAAGACUGAUUGGGAAGUGUGUGAUAGAGGCCAUCAAGUUUUAAACUUCAAGGAAACCUCUGAAAUCCCAAGGUUUUCAGUGUGCUGCUUGGUCACUGUUUCCAUCAGAUGGCCCUCCACCAGAUUCCUGGGAAGAUGUCACCUGGCAAUCACAUGAAGCACAGGUUCCCCAAGGUUCAUGCUCUUCCUUGCAGAGCCUUGCAAAGCCUGCAGGAUGAUUUGGGCUGGCUGAGGAGCAGUAGGAGUUGCUUUCUCUUCAUCUUCCUCUCCAGGCUACAUUCCCUGCUAAUAUGGCAGGCAGCUCCCUCCUGUAUGUAGUUUCCAUGAAGUCAGGAAAUAUGAGUAGCAGAGAAGUGGGAAACUCUGGAUCCACUAGGCAAGCCUUGACUCUCCUUGGGGGAGAUGUGUGUGAAAGCUGUGGGUGGUCUGAAUUUUGGGUGCUUGAGCAGGAGGCUUUGGGUAUUGGUGUGGAUAUUCAAGUUGCUUUGAGAAUACUUCAGGCUGAAUGAGAAGUGAAUUCCCUAAAUCUCUCCCCUAGAGUCUCAUCAACUUUCAGCAAAAUUGUCCCUCAGAGGCAAUUCAGCUAUCUUCAUUCAUGGAGUUCUCAGCGAUGCUCUGCCAUUGAGUUCCCUUUGAAAAGGUUUUUGUGCCGUAAUCUGCUGGCUGGUUACUUAACUGAUGCAGCUUACAGACCUCUGCUGGUUGUUGCAGGUCUUUUAAUUUUUAAGUGUUUAUUUCUGCUCCUUUGUGAAGCGUAAGGAAAUGGAUGAUUAGCAAAAUUCUUCCCAGUAUUUGAGAAGCAUUAGUAAAUGUUCAAUAAAGGGCAAUCACACUGUUGUUUUCA